AAUCACUGUGCACAGAUCUUCAGCGCCGUCCAGAAUUUCCAGCAUUUAACCAGCCACAGCAAAGAAUUGUUGGAGUAGCGACUAAUCUUAACCCAUCAGAUACACGACCGUUCUUUUGUUACAGUAAGCUUGCAAGCAGAGCAACGAGACGGUCAGUAUUUAGGGGCUUUCUUUCUUACAACAUUUCUUCUGCUAAACCAUCGUGCUGUAUGCUUCAUUUAAGAGUCCGUGGUGCAUCGGUGUGUUUGAGCUUGUUUAAAAGCUCAUUGGCUUUAGAACGUAUGCUGUUUUCACAGUGUCUGCGUUCCAUUUUAGAUAAAAACACAGUUAUUGGGUGAGUACAGGUGUGUUUUUUUAUUUUGCUUCUUAUUAUAUCAUAGUUGCAUGUAAUCGGAGCGAUGCUAGAGAUAACAGCAACGAUACAAAGGUACACCAAGGUAAGGUUUGUGUGCACAGUGCGGUCGAACUGUAUCAUGUUACAUAAAAAAAAAAGUUAAGAAAGGUUGUGGAUGGAAAAGGGCCAAUUGCGUGUUCCCCACUUGGGAUUGUGAUUGAGUACACGUUGCAUUGGGUGCGUAAACAUGGAGCCGGCGUUGAAAAGCUUGAGUUGGCAGCGGUGGGAUUCGAACCCACGCCCCCGAAGAGACUGGAGCCUUAAUCCAGCGCCUUAGACCGCUCGGCCACGCUACCACUGGUGUGGGUGUCGAUCAAAACGAGCAACUACGCAUGCAAUUUCUACCUGCAUUUUCCAAUUGAAUUCAAAUAGGUUGCGCACUGAAAAGCUCCAAGUGCAGCUAAACCAAAAGCUACACCAAACUGGUAAACAUCAUGAGUUGGCAGCGGUGGGAUUCGAACCCACGCCUCCGAAGAGACUGGAGCCUAAAUCCAGCGCUUUAGACCGCUCGGCCACGCUACCCUGGCGAGGGUGGUGCUCGUUGAUCGCUGCUUUCUGAUCUGAUGCCGUAUUUAAGUUCGCUGCGGCAUCAACUUCCAUGAACAAACUCGUGCUGAAAGUUUUCUAAUAACAUCAAAGUCUUCCUAUUAGGAGGUGGCUGUACCACUACGCAUGAAUCCAACUUACAUUGGCACUGCAUGUAUGUACAGAGCACAAGCCAAAGUCUGCAAAUGUUUGUUUUUCCCCACACUGUAUCUUUUUCUGACUUGUUUUAAUUUUCUUUCCAGGGUGUGUUCCUUACCUUUCCUGCCCAAGCUGUUUUCCAAUGUCCUCCGCAACUCUUAUCAGGAUUCACUAUUCGAAACCUAGUAAAUAAAUGUUGUUUUGGAAUAAGAUGGUGUUCUGAGUUUUGCAGAAGUCAACAACACGCUUUUCUUCUUCAGACUGGUUUUUAAAUGAAAGUUAAAGAGAAUGCUGGAUUUUGAAGUGUUUACUGUGCACCUCGAGCAUACACACCAAACCCCCUGGUGUAAAUCCUUAAGUUGGCAGCGGUGGGAUUCGAACCCACGCCCCUGAAGAGACUGGAGCCUUAAUCCAGCGCCUUAGACCGCUCGGCCACGGGACUCGGGACUCGGCAGAUGAUUGUCGCUCCCUUGCCUGAUGCCGCUAAUAUUGAAAUGUUAAUGGUAGGGGGUGGCUCUGCUGCCAGGUAUAAAUUCCGCCAAUUAAUGCCAUUAUGCUUGUAAGUUUGAAUUAGACAGGGUUCAUAAAAUCAAACAAACAAAAUUAUUAGCAUAUACGUAUAUGUGUGUGUUUAUUGCUAUAUCUUUGCGUUUUUCUCGUACAAAACAAGUUACACUUCCAAGGCCAAUCUUAACAACCACAUUUCCUCAUGAACAUAGCCAAUUUUCCCAAGAGGAGAGGAAGAUCUCAAGAUACAGGACAAAACCCCCACACGUUUUAUUUGAAGUCUUAUGAACUCAACACCAGAAGGUGGCGGUAUUUCCUAAGGCAACUUCAUAAACACUUUGGAAACGUCGGACUGCCAAGAUCUCCAAUCACAUUCAUUGCUGCGACGUUCGACAGCCAAUCACUGUGCACAGAUCUUCAGCGCCGUCCAGAAUUUCCAGCAUUUAACCAGCCACAGCAAAGAAUUGUUGGAGUAGCGACUAAUCUUGACCCAUCAGAUACACGACCGUUCUUUUGUUACAGUAAGCUUGCAAGCAGAGCAACGAGACGGUCAGUAUUUAGGGGCUUUCUUUCUUACAACAUUUCUUCUGCUAAACCAUCGUGCUGUAUGCUUCAUUUAAGAGUCCGUGGUGCAUCGGUGUGUUUGAGCUUGUUUAAAAGCUCAUUGGCUUUAGAACGUAUGCUGUUUUCACAGUGUCUGCGUUCCAUUUUAGAUAAAAACACAGUUAUUGGGUGAGUACAGGUGUGUUUUUUUAUUUUGCUUCUUAUUAUAUCAUAGUUGCAUGUAAUCGGAGCGAUGCUAGAGAUAACAGCAACGAUACAAAGGUACACCAAGGUAAGGUUUGUGUGCACAGUGCGGUCGAACUGUAUCAUGUUACAUAAAAAAAAAGUUAAGAAAGGUUGUGGAUGGAAAAGGGCCAAUUGCGUGUGCCCCACUUGGGAUUGUGAUUGAGUACACGUUGCAUUGGGUGCGUAAACAUGGAGCCGGCGUUGAAAAGCUUGAGUUGGCAGCGGUGGGAUUCGAACCCACGCCCCCGAAGAGACUGGAGCCUUAAUCCAGCGCCUUAGACCGCUCGGCCACGCUACCACUGGUGUGGGUGUCGAUCAAAACGAGCAACUACGCAUGCAAUUUCUACCUGCAUUUUCCAAUUGAAUUCAAAUAGGUUGCGCACUGAAAAGCUCCAAGUGCAGCUAAACCAAAAGCUACACCAAACUGGUAAACAUCAUGAGUUGGCAGCGGUGGGAUUCGAACCCACGCCUCCGAAGAGACUGGAGCCUAAAUCCAGCGCCUUAGACCGCUCGGCCACGCUACCCUGGCGAGGGUGGUGCUCGUUGAUCGCUGCUUUCUGAUCUGAUGCCGUAUUUAAGUUCGCUGCGGCAUCAACUUCCAUGAACAAACUCGUGCUGAAAGUUUUCUAAUAACAUCAAAGUCUUCCUAUUAGGAGGUGGCUGUACCACUACGCAUGAAUCCAACUUACAUUGGCACUGCAUGUAUGUACAGAGCACAAGCCAAAGUCUGCAAAUGUUUGUUUUUCCCCACACUGUAUCUUUUUCUGACUUGUUUUAAUUUUCUUUCCAGGGUGUGUUCCUUACCUUUCCUGCCCAAGCUGUUUUCCAAUGUCCUCCGCAACUCUUAUCAGGAUUCACUAUUCGAAACCUAGUAAAUAAAUGUUGUUUUGGAAUAAGAUGGUGUUCUGAGUUUUGCAGAAGUCAACAACACGCUUUUCUUCUUCAGACUGGUUUUUAAAUGAAAGUUAAAGAGAAUGCUGGAUUUUGAAGUGUUUACUGUGCACCUCGAGCAUACACACCAAACCCCCUGGUGUAAAUCCUUAAGUUGGCAGCGGUGGGAUUCGAACCCACGCCCCUGAAGAGACUGGAGCCUUAAUCCAGCGCCUUAGACCGCUCGGCCACGCUACCCCAGAAAGCUUUGAAAGUAGUACGGGACUCGGCAGAUGAUUGUCGCUCCCUUGCCUGAUGCCGCUAAUAUUGAAAUGUUAAUGGUAGGGGGUGGCUCUGCUGCCAGGUAUAAAUUCCGCCAAUUAAUGCCAUUAUGCUUGUAAGUUUGAAUUAGACAGGGUUCAUAAAAUCAAACAAACAAAAUUAUUAGCAUAUACGUAUAUGUGUGUGUUUAUUGCUAUAUCUUUGCGUUUUUCUCGUACAAAACAAGUUACACUUCCAAGGCCAAUCUUAACAACCACAUUUCCUCAUGAACAUAGCCAAUUUUCCCAAGAGGAGAGGAAGAUCUCAAGAUACAGGACAAAACCCCCACACGUUUUAUUUGAAGUCUUAUGAACUCAACACCAGAAGGUGGCGGUAUUUCCUAAGGCAACUUCAUAAACACUUUGGAAACGUCGGACUGCCAAGAUCUCCAAUCACAUUCAUUGCUGCGACGUUCGACAGCCAAUCACUGUGCACAGAUCUUCAGCGCCGUCCAGAAUUUCCAGCAUUUAACCAGCCACAGCAAAGAAUUGUUGGAGUAGCGACUAAUCUUGACCCGUCAGAUACACGACCGUUCUUUUGUUACAGUAAGCUUGCAAGCAGAGCAACGAGACGGGUGUGUUCCUUACCUUUCCUGCCCAAGCUGUUUUCCAAUGUCCUCCGCAACUCUUAUCAGGAUUCACUAUUCGAAACCUAGUAAAUAAAUGUUGUUUUGGAAUAAGAUGGUGUUCUGAGUUUUGCAGAAGUCAACAACACGCUUUUCUUCUUCAGACUGGUUUUUAAAUGAAAGUUAAAGAGAAUGCUGGAUUUUGAAGUGUUUACUGUGCACCUCGAGCAUACACACCAAACCCCCUGGUGUAAAUCCUUAAGUUGGCAGCGGUGGGAUUCGAACCCACGCCCCUGAAGAGACUGGAGCCUUAAUCCAGCGCCUUAGACCGCUCGGCCACGCUACCCCAGAAAGCUUUGAAAGUAGUACGGGACUCGGCAGAUGAUUGUCGCUCCCUUGCCUGAUGCCGCUAAUAUUGAAAUGUUAAUGGUAGGGGGUGGCUCUGCUGCCAGGUAUAAAUUCCGCCAAUUAAUGCCAUUAUGCUUGUAAGUUUGAAUUAGACAGGGUUCAUAAAAUCAAACAAACAAAAUUAUUAGCA